ACUAAGAGUAUAGUUGAGGGACCAUUGCUGCGAAUAACCCUACUAUUUAUUAAAAUAGUAAUUUUCCGUUUAGUAAGAAGAACAGUAUGUUGCUCUGUAAUCCGAUACAACACGGGGCUGCUGUGCCGACGUGUAAUAUGGUAUUACAAGUAUUUUGCUCAGUGUAAGGCGAAAAGACGAAGAUACCCUCAGUAGCACAUUGUAGAACGUUCAAGAGAGGCCCAACUUCCUCAUAUUUCAGUUGUUUAGCGCCUCUGCAACUCCAUAGACAACCAAUCCAGAGAAACUCGGGAUAGGGAUCAGGGGCCUUAGGGCUUGAAACCUUGCAGAAGAAGAAGAAGAAGAAGAAGAUGAUCGAGGUGGUGCUGAACGACAGGCUGGGAAAGAAGGUUCGGGUGACAUGCAACGAGGACGACACCAUAGGCGACCUGAAGAAGCUGGUGGCGGCCCAGACGGGGACCCGAGCCGAUAAGAUCCGAAUCCAAAAGUGGUACAACAUUUACAAGGAUCACAUCACUCUCAAGGAUUACGAAAUCCACGACGGCAUGGGCCUCGAACUCUACUAUAACUGAAACUCAUCAAUUCAAUUCUACCUACCUACUUUACAGGACGUAAGAUGCAAAAUGCCUUGCAAGUGACUAUAUACCAACAAACCCAUUGUGAACGAGUUGAGGAAAGAGUUGGGGCCCUGUAUGUUUAUGGGUAUCGUCGUCGUAUCGUAAACAUUUGGACAUCGGAAUAUUCAAAGCUCUGCAUUGUUUCUUACAUUGAUGAUGAGCAUGCUCAUCAACAUGUUGUUUCCUGUGUCCACGAGAGUCCAGCUGAGAGAAUAUAUGUUGUUUGCGACUUCUAGCUUUUGCUCUCAUUGUUGGCAAAGACGUGUGAAGUAAAGUGAUGAAAGAAGAAUUCAUUGUCUUAAAUCUCAACAGAUCAACGGGAAAAAAAGAAAAGAAGAGAAACCUUGGCAAACAAGGAAAGACAGAAAGAAAUUGCAAAGUUCUGUGUGAAUGCAAGAAUAAGUUUUCUGUUGUAUAGGCGAACCAAUUUAAUGAGAGGUUGUAUUUAAUGUUGCAAGUUAGAAUUGGGAGUUUACUGGUUUUAGAUCCCAAAGAAAAGAAGAAAAAAAAAUACAAAAACAAAAAGGCAUCUUGUGGGUUUCGAUGGGAAAAUCUGAGUGCAUCUGUUCUGUUUCUGUAUACUCUCUGGUCUCUUCAUGUCUGUGUUCAGUGUAACAUCUUGUCUUGUCUUUGCUAAUCCGGCCCAUAUUUGGUGUUC